ACUGAGCUCGCGAUGGUUGUUUGCGGGGGGGAGGGGGGUGCUGCGAGGCAGUUCCUGGGACUAUUAUGGUGGCGGCUCACGGCCACGUGCCGCUUGGUGGGUCCUACGAGAACUUUGCUCCUGGCUGAAGUGGCGACGUAAAAUGGGACGGUGGCAGAGCUUUGUAGAAUAGGUGGUGAUAGAGAGGAAGCUGCAUCAGAGGCUAAGCAACCAGAAUGUCAGUGGCUGGUGCUGAGAUGUAGAGGGUAAAACUGCCGCCUGCAGUGCCAACAUCCCAUAUGGGCGCUGGUUCGAAUCCCGGCUCCUCCACCACUUCCGAUCCAGCUCUCUGCUAUGGCCUGUGAAAGCAGUAGAAGUUGGCCCAAGUCCUUGGGUCCCUGCACCCGUGUGGGAGACAUGGAGGAAGCUCCUGGCUCCUGGCUUCGGAUCAGCUCAGCUCCAUCUGUUGUGGCAAUUUGGGGAAUGAACCCAUGGAUGGAAGACUUUUCUCUCUCUGCCUCUCUGUAACUCUGCCUUUCAAAUAAAUAAAUCUUUAAAAAAAAAAAAAAAAAAAAAAAAC